CGUUGGUGAGAAUCCAAUGCCCCGAAAACCCAAGGGUUCCUCCGUAAAGUUCGUCCACGGAGGGUGAGUCAGGGCCUAAGAUCAGGCUGAAAGGCGUAGUCGAUGGACAACAGGUGAAUAUUUCUGUACUACCCCUUGUUGGUCUCAAGGGACGGAGGAGGCUAGGUUAGCCGAAAGAUGGUUAUCGGUUUAAGGACGCAAGCUACCAGAUGCCAUUAACUCUAUGUGUUUUAUCAAUAUCUCUACUUGCGAUUCGUUGAACUAGAAACUUUUAUUUUACCUAUUCCUUUAGUUUUAGAAAAUAAGUUGAGUUGAUAAACUAAAUUAGAUAGUUAUAUAUGAGUGAAAGAAAGUAG
rfam:Gossypium hirsutum cultivar TM-1 chromosome 15, whole genome shotgun sequence